CCUACGGGAGGCAGCAGUGAGGAAUAUUGGUCAAUGGGCGCAAGCCUGAACCAGCCAAGUAGCGUGAAGGAAGACUGCCCUAUGGGUUGUAAACUUCUUUUAUACAGGAAUAAAGUGAUGCACGUGUGCCUUUUUUUAUGUACUUUAUGCAUAAGGAUCGGCUAACUCCGUGCCAGCCGCCGCGGUAAUACGGAGGGUCCGAGCGUUAUCCGGAUUUAUUGGGUUUAAAGGGAGCGUAGUUGGGUUGUUACGUCAGUUGUGAAAGUUUGCGGCUCAACCGUAAAAUUGCAGUUGAUACUGGCAGUCUUGAGUACAGUUGAGGUAGGCGGAAUGCGUGGUGUAGCGGUGAAAUGCUUAGAUAUCACGAAGAACUCCGAUUGCGAAGGCAGCUUACUAAACUGCCACUGACAUUGAUGCUCGAAAGUGUGGGUAUCAAACAGGAUUAGAUACCCUGGUAGUC
rnacentral:rRNA from 1 species